UAGUCAGUAGCUCGCGGACAAAAUGAGUUAAAAACCUGAAAAGGUCUUUGGUGUAGAACGUUGAC